rnacentral:rRNA from 1 species
GUUUCCUGCACCACGUUCAUCGGUGCAGGGUGAGUCGGUCCCUAAGGCAAGGCCGAAAGGCGUAGUCGAUGGAAAAUCGGUCAAUAUUCCGAUACCUCGUUUUGAUGCGAUGGGGAGACGGAGAAGGUUAUGCAAGCCGUCUGUUGGAUGGCGGUUUAAGCGUGUAGGUGGAUCUCUUAGGCAAAUCCGGGAGGUCAACACCAAGGCGUGAUGACGAGUGCCCUUGUGGUGCGAAGUUGCAGAUACCACGCUUCCAGGAAAAUCCUCUAAGCUUCAGUCAAGAUGAGACCGUACCGUAAACGGACACACGUGGGCAGGAUGAAAAUUCUAAGGCGCUUGAGAGAACUCGGGUGAAGGAACUCGGCAAAUUUGCACCGUAACUUCGGAAGAAGGUGCGCCCUAAGUAUGUGAAGCCCCUCGCGGGUGGAGCAGAACAGGGUUGCAGUGAAAAGGUGGCUGCGACUGUUUAACAAAAACACAGCACUCUGCAAACACGUCAAGUGGACGUAUAGGGUGUGACGCCUGCCCGGUGCCGGAAGGUUAAGUGAUGGGGUGCAAGCUCUUGAUCGAAGCCCCGGUAAACGGCGGCCGUAACAAUAACGGUCCUAAGGUAGCGAAAUUCCUUGUCGGGUAAGUUCCGACCUGCACGAAUGGCGUAACGAUGGCCACACUGUCUCCACCCGAGACUCAGCGAAGUUGAAGUGUUUGUGAUGAUGCAAUCUACCCGCGGCUAGACGGAAAGACCCCGUGCACCUUUACUGUAGCUUUACAUUGGACUUUGAUGAGAUCUGUGUAGGAUAGGUGGGAGACUUUGAAGCGGGCGCGCUAGCGCUCGUGGAGUCAACGUUGAAAUACCACCCUGAUGUUAUUGAGGUUCUAACCUUGCCCCGUUAUCCGGGGCGGGGACCGUGUAUGGCAGGCAGUUUGACUGGGGCGGUCUCCUCCCAAAGAGUAACGGAGGAGCUCGAAGGUACGCUUAGCGCGGUCGGCUAUCGCGCUGUAUGUGCAAUGGCAUAAGCGUGCUUAACUGCGAGACUGACAAGUCGAGCAUGUGCGAAAGCAGGACAUAGUGAUCCGGUGGUUCUGUAUGGAAGGGCCAUCGCUCAACGGAUAAAAGGUACGCCGGGGAUAACAGGCUGAUUCCUCCCAAGAGUUCAUAUCGACGGGGGAGUUUGGCACCUCGAUGUCGGCUCAUCACAUCCUGGGGCUGUAGCCGGUCCCAAGGGUAUGGCUGUUCGCCAUUUAAAGUGGUACGUGAGCUGGGUUCAAAACGUCGUGAGACAGUUUGGUCCCUAUCUGCCGUGGGCGUUGGAAGUUUGAAGGGGGCUGCUCCUAGUACGAGAGGACCGGAGUGGACGCACCUCUGGUGUACCGGUUAUGACGCCAGUCGUAUUGCCGGGUAGCUAUGUGCGGAAGAGAUAACCGCUGAAAGCAUCUAAGCGGGAAACUCGCCUUAAGAUGAGACUUCCCGGAGACUUGAUCUCCCUGUAGGGUCGUCCGAGACCAGGACGUUGAUAGGCUGGGUGUGUACGAUCAGUAAUGGUCUUAGCUAACCAGUACUAAUUGCCCGUGCGGCUUGAUCCC